rnacentral:rRNA from 1 species
CGCGUAGGUGGUAGUGAAAGUCUAUGGUGGAAUCUUAGGGCUUAACCCUAAAACUGCCUUGGAAACUUCAUUACUUGAGUCAGUGAGGGGAGGGUAGAAUUCCUGGUGUAGCGGUGAAAUGCGUAGAUAUCAGGAGGAAGGCCGGUGGCGAAGGCGGCCCUCUGGCGCUGAACUGACGCUGAGGCACGAAAGCGUGGGUAGCAAACAGGAUUAGAUACCCUGGUAGUCCACGCCCUAAACGGUGGGUACUAGGUGUAGGGCUCGUAAGGGUUCUGUGCCGAAGGGAAACCAUUAAGUACCCCGCCUGGGGAGUACGGCCGCAAGGUUGAA